rnacentral:rRNA from 1 species
UACGUAGGGAGCAAGCGUUGUCCGGAAUCAUUGGGCGUAAAGGGCGCGUAGGCGGCCAGCACAAGUCAGUUGUGAAAUCUCCGAGCUUAACUCGGAAAGGUCAACUGAUACUGUGCGGCUAGAGUGCGGAAGGGGCAACUGGAAUUCUUGGUGUAGCGGUGAAAUGCGUAGAUAUCAAGAGGAACACCUGCGGCGAAGGCGGGUUGCUGGGCCGACACUGACGCUGAGGCGCGAAAGCCAGGGGAGCGAACGGG